UACGUAGGGGGCGAGCGUUGUCCGGAAUCAUUGGGCGUAAAGCGCGUGUAGGCGGCUCGGUAAGUCCGGUGUGAAACCUUGGGGCUCAACCCCAAGCCUGCACUGGAUACUGUCGAGCUUGAGUCCGGGAGGGGAGAGCGGAAUUCCUAGUGUAGCGGUGAAAUGCGCAGAUAUUAGGAAGAACACCGUGGCGAGGCGGCUACUCUGGAACGGUACUGACGCUGAGACGCGAAAGCGUGGGGAGCGAACAGG
rnacentral:rRNA from 1 species